AUACGGGGGAUUCAAGCGUUAUCCGGACUUAUUGGGUUUAAAGGGUGCGUAGGCGGGACUGUAAGUCAGGGGUGAAAUACUGCAGCUUAACUGUAGCAUUGCCUUUGAAACUGCCGUUCUUGAGUACGGUUGAGGUAGGCGGAAUGGGGUGUGUAGCGGUGAAAUGCAUAGAUAUACCACAGAACGCCGAUUGCGAAGGCAGCUUACUAAGCUGUUACUGACGCUGAGGCACGAAAGCGUGGGGAUCAAACAGGAUUAGAUACCCUGGUAGUCCACGCUGUAAACGAUGAUUACUGGUUGUUAGCGAUAUAUAGCUAGUGACUGAGCGAAAGCAUUAAGUAAUCCACCUGGGGAGUACGUCGGCAACGAUGAAACUCAAAUGAAUUGACGGGG
rnacentral:rRNA from 1 species